rnacentral:rRNA from 1 species
AGUGAACGCUGGCGGUAGGCCUAACACAUGCAAGUCGAACGGCAGCACAGUAAGAGCUUGCUCUUACGGGUGGCGAGUGGCGGACGAGUGAGGAAUACAUCGGAAUCUACUUUUUCGUGGGGGAUAACGUAGGGAAACUUACGCUAAUACCGCAUACGACCUACGGGUGAAAGCAGGGGAUCUUCGGACCUUGCGCGAUUGAAUGAGCCGAUGUCGGAUUAGCUAGUUGGCGGGGUAAAGGCCCACCAAGGCGACGAUCCGUAGCUGGUCCGAGAGGAUGAACAGCCACACGGGAACCUAGACACGGUUCAGACUCCCACGGGAGGCAGCAGUGGGGAAUAUUGGACAAUGGGCGCAAGCCUGAUCCAGCCAUACCGCGUGGGUGAAGAAGGCCUUCGGGUUGUAAAGCCCUUUUGUUGGGAAAGAAAAGCAGCAGGUUAAUACCCCGCUGUUCUGACGGUACCCAAAGAAUAAGCACCGGCUAACUUCGUG